GAGGGAAGCUUGCUUUCCUUGCCGGCGACCGGCGCACGGGUGAGUAACACGUAUGCAACCUGCCCUCUUCAGGGGGACAACCUUCCGAAAGGGAGGCUAAUCCCGCGUAUAUCGGUUUCGGGCAUCCGUUAUCGAGGAAAGAUUCAUCGGAAGAGGAUGGGCAUGCGGCGCAUUAGCUUGACGGCGGGGUAACGGCCCACCGUGGCGACGAUGCGUAGGGGUUCUGAGAGGAAGGUCCCCCACACUGGUACUGAGACACGGACCAGACUCCUACGGGAGGCAGCAGUGAGGAAUAUUGGUCAAUGGGAGAGAUCCUGAACCAGCCAAGCCGCGUGAGGGAAGACGGCCCUAUGGGUUGUAAACCUCUUUUGUCGGAGAACAAAACCCGGGACGUGUCCCGGACUGCGUGUAUCCGAAGAAAAAGCAUCGGCUAACUCCGUGCCAGCAGCCGCGGUAAUACGGAGGAUGCGAGCGUUAUCCGGAUUUAUUGGGUUUAAAGGGUGCGUAGGCGGAAUGCCAAGUCAGCGGUAAAAUCGCGGGGCUCAACCUCGCUCCGCCGUUGAAACUGGCGUUCUUGAGUGGGCGAGAAGUAUGCGGAAUGCGUGGUGUAGCGGUGAAAUGCAUAGAUAUCACGCAGAACUCCGAUUGCGAAGGCAGCAUACCGGCGCCCAACUGACGCUGAAGCACGAAAGCGUGGGUAUCGAACAGGAUUAGAUACCCUAGUAGUCCACGCAGUAAACGAUGAAU
rnacentral:rRNA from 1 species